rnacentral:rRNA from 1 species
GACGAACGCUGGCGGCGUGCUUAACACAUGCAAGUCGAACGGAAAGGCCCUGCUUUUGUGGGGUGCUCGAGUGGCGAACGGGUGAGUAACACGUGAGUAACCUGCCCUUGACUUUGGGAUAACUUCAGGAAACUGGGGCUAAUACCGGAUAGGAGCUCCUGCUGCAUGGUGGGGGUUGGAAAGUUUCGGCGGUUGGGGAUGGACUCGCGGCUUAUCAGCUUGUUGGUGGGGUAGUGGCUUACCAAGGCUUUGACGGGUAGCCGGCCUGAGAGGGGGACCGGCCACAUUGGGACUGAGAUACGGCGCAGACGCCUACGGGAGGCAGCAGUGGGGAGUAUUGCACAAUGGGCGGGAGCCUGAUGCAGCAACGCCGCGUGCGGGAUGACGGCCUUCGGGUUGUAAACCGCUUUCGCCUGUGACGAAGCGUGAGUGACGGUAAUGGGUAAAGAAGCACCGGCUAACUACGUG